GACGAACGCUGGCGGCGUGCUUAACACAUGCAAGUCGAACGGAAAGGCCCUGCUUUUGUGGGGUGCUCGAGUGGCGAACGGGUGAGUAACACGUGAGUAACCUGCCCUUGACUUUGGGAUAACUUCAGGAAACUGGGGCUAAUACCGGAUAGGAGCUCCUGCUGCAUGGUGGGGGGUGGAAAGUUUCGGCGGUUGGGGAUGGACUCGCGGCUUAUCAGCUUGUUGGGGGGGUAGUGGCUUACCAAGGCUUUGACGGGUAGCCGGCCUGAGAGGGUGACCGGCCCCAUUGGGACUGGGUUACGGCCCAGACCCCUACGGGAGGCAGCGGUGGGGAAUUUUGCACAAUGGGCGGAAGCCUGAUGCAGGAACGCCGCGGGCGGGAUGACGGCCUUCGGGUGUUAAACCGCUUUCGCCUGUGACGAAGCGUGUGUGACGGUAAUGGGUAAAGAAGCACCGGCUAACUACGUG
rnacentral:rRNA from 1 species